GCGGGAAUAGCUCAGGGGUAGAGCGUCACCUUGCCAAGGUGAAAGCCGCGGGUUCGAAUCCCGUUUCCCGCUCCA
rnacentral:tRNA from 1 species